CGUAGGAGAACAGAGUCAUAUUACCUGUGUGAUGGGUGCAGGGAUGUCACAAUGUCCUCUGUAGGCAGGACCUAGGCAGUAUGGUUACCUCACCUGGGUGUGUGACAGAGCAAUAUGUCACAAUGACCCACAUGGGAAGAGCACAAGCAGAAGAGUCACAUAACCUGAGUGUGGGGCCCAGCGAUAUGACACAAUGCCCCCUGUGGAAGAGACAAGGCAGGAGAGAAGAUUCACACCACCUGGGUACAAACUCAGUGAUAUGUCACAAUGUCCUCUGUGGGCAGUGCCAAGGCAGUAGAAUUGUCACACCACCUCUCUGGGUCCAGGGAUAUGUCACAAUCCCAUUUGUGGCCUGGGCCCAGGGAGGAGCAUCAAAUCACUCUGGUGCUGGGUAAAGUGAUAUGUCAUAAUCACACCAGCAGGAAUGUUUAGGGAUGAGAUUAUGCAUCUGGACUGGAAAGAAUCAACACAUCAAAAAUAUUACCAGACUGUGCAAGAUGGCUCAUGCCUGUAAUCCCAGCACUUUGGAGGCCAAGGGAGAAAAAAACUCAGGCCUAAGUGAUUAUAAACCUGCAAUUAACCUCUGGUUACAAAACCAGGAAAUUUACACCUGGAUCAUACAAAUAAGGUGGACCACAAAUCAGGGCCGGGUGCUUUCCAUUUCACCAAUCACGGUUUCAUAGUGAUAAGAAAACAAACAGGGCUGGGUGCCGUGGUUC
rnacentral:lncRNA from 1 species